UGGGGAAUAUUGCACAAUGGAGGAAACUCUGAUGCAGCAAUGCCGCGUGGAGGAUGACGGAUUUCGGUCUGUAAACUCCUUUUAUAAUCGAAGAUAAUGACGGUAGAUUAUGAAUAAGCACCGGCUAACUCCGUGCCAGCAGCCGCGGUAAUACGGAGGGUGCAAGCGUUACUCGGAAUCACUGGGCGUAAAGAGCGCGUAGGCGGUCUAAUAAGUUAGAAGUGAAAGCCCACAGCUUAACUGUGGAACUGCUUCUAAAACUGUUAGACUAGAAUUUGGGAGAGGUAAGUGGAAUUCCUGGUGUAGGGGUGAAAUCCGUAGAGAUCAGGAGGAAUACCGAAAGCGAAGGCGACUUACUGGAACAACAUUGACGCUGAUGCGCGAAAGCGUGGGGAGCAAACAGG
rnacentral:rRNA from 1 species